UUCAGCCACGGAGAAGUCGCCGUCGGAGCUCAGCUGUCUGUCCUUCCCCACUGCCUGCUCCUCCUGGCUCCUCUGCAAGGAAAGGCCGCCAGGAGAUAACGCUUCUCGGUGGUCUCCAAUAGGAAUGGGGCCGUAGCUCGGGGGCAUCCAACCUCGCCCCCCGCUUCGGCCACAUGGACGCAGUCACUCAGCUUCACCAGCCGCCGGCUGCUCUCACCCUUCCAAGGUUUAUCUGCACUCUCAAAGAACUCCAGGCGGGCGGUGGAACAAGGGGUUUCCCGGCAGAGCAACUCAUUGCAUCCUGCACAGGGAAGCGUGCAACCCCAGAGGAAGUUUUGCACCAAAAACAGGGGCUGCAAGUGGAACCUGCGGGACGCAGCAGCCAAAUGGCUGCACCUUUUGCAUGCUCCAAAUGCAACCCAUUUGCUCUGGGUGCUGAACGUCUCCUCCCUCCUUGCACAAGAGCAGCAGCCGCCGUCACCGAACUGCAGCACGCUCUGAAGCAACAGUGCAGGGGGGGGUUGCAUCACUUGGUGCAUGACCCCAUCCCGCUGCACUGAGCUGCAAUGGGGCUCUGGUUGCUCUGCAUGUUGCAUCCCAACACUGAAUCCUCCACCUUAAGGUGCUGCACAUCCCGUUGCAUGCAGCCCCCCAUGCAACCCCCAUGCAACCCUAGCAGGAAGCAACCCCAUGCAGCACCCUCACCUUGCCGAAGGUCUGUUGCAGCUGCAGGUGCAGCACGCCCUGCUUCACCACCGCCUCCUCCAUCCUGCAGCCCGGUGCAUCCAUCUGCAGCUGCCCCCCUGUCACCCAGUGUCCCCAGUCUGCACCGACGCCACGUGAUGUGCGGUUGGGUGCUGCUGUUUCCUCCCCCGUGCUGCGCUUCCUGCCUUGGUUUUGUUACCAUAAAGGGUGCACGGCUGCA